UGGCUGGCUGGCUGGCUGGCUGGCUGGCUGGCUGGCUGAGAGGGCAGAGUGGGGUGGUUACCCAGGGCAGUGGGGACGCUGGGGAGGCGGUCGGGCUGUCCAGCUGUAGACAGCUAGGCCUGUACAUCUCAUUGCUUCACAAUCUAAUUGUGAAACAUCAGCAUUGUGGCACACACCUGGGCCGCUCCCGAGGACUGUGAGCUCUCGUUCUCCGUGGCCAAUGUGAGUAAGACAUUUAAGCGUGUUAACCCUCUCAAGGCUGCCGGUCCAGACGGCAUCCCAACCCGCAUCCUCAGAGCAUGCUCAGACCAGCUAGCUGGCGUUUUUAUGGACAUAUUCAAUCUCUACAGUCUGUCCCCACUUUCUUCAAGAUGUCCACCAUUGUUCCUGUCCCCAAGAAGGCGUUGGUAACUGAACGAAAUUACUAUCGCCCCGUAGCACUCACUUCUGUCAUCAUGAAGUGCUUUGAGAGGCUAGUUAAGGAUCAUAUCACCUCCACCUUACCCGACACCCUAGACGCACUGCCACAGUGGAGAAGGAGAAAAGCUUCAAGUUCUUCAGAGUACAUACCACUGACAAUCUGAAGUGUUCCAUCUACACACAGUGUGGUGAAGAAGGUGGAACAGCUCCUCUUCAACCACAGGAGGCUGAAGAAAUUUGGCUUGGCCCCUAAGACCCUCACAAACUUUUACAGAUGCACAAUUGAGAGCAUCCUGUCAAGGCUGUAUCACCGCCUAGUACGGCAACUGCACCGUCCGCAACAGCAGAGCUCUCCAGAGCGUGGUGCGGUCUGCCCAACGCAUCACCGGGGACCCACUGCCAGCCCUCCAGGACAUCUACAGCACUCGGUGUCACAAAAAGUCCAAGAAAAUCAUCAAGGAUGACAGCCACCCGAGCCACGGCCUAUUCAGCCAAGACAACACAGGAGUGUCUUCGGGUCAAGUCUCUGAAUGUCC